GUCUCCGGCCAUGCCACCCUCAACAAGCCCGACUCCUCUGAUCUCGGAAGCUAAGCAGGGUCGGGCCUGGUUAGUACUUGGAUGGGAGACCACCUAGGAAGACCAGGAGCUGUAGGCU
rnacentral:rRNA from 1 species